AUUGAACGCUGGCGGCAGGCCUAACACAUGCAAGUCGAACGAGUGGCGGACGGGUGAGUAAUGUCUGGGAACCUGCCUGAUGGAGGGGGAUAACUACUGGAAACGGUAGCUAAUACCGCAUACCAUCAGAUGUGCCCAGAUGGGAUUAGCUAGUUGGUGGGGUAACGGCUCACCAAGGCGACGAGCCCUAGCUGGUCUGAGAGGAUGACCGGCCACACUGGAACUGAGACACGGUCCAGACUCCUACGGGAGGCAGCAGUGGGGAAUAUUGCGCAAUGGGCGCAAGCCUGAUGGAGCCAUGCCGCGUGUAGGAAGAAGGCCUUCGGGUUGUAAAGUACUGUCAGCGGGGAGGCGUUACCCGCAGAGGAAGCACCGGCUAACUCCGUGCCAGCAGCCGCGGUAAUUC
rnacentral:rRNA from 1 species